GACGAACGCUGGCGGCGCGCUUAACACAUGCAAGUCGAGCGAAGCGGCGGAGGGGUGAGUAACACGUGAGGAACCUGCCUUAGACAUUGGGAUAGCCUCGGGAAACCGAGAUUAAUACCACAUGGUCUAAGAUGGACUCGCUUCCCAUUAGCUAGUUGGUGAGGUAACGGCCCACCAAGGCGACGAUGGGUAGCCGGCCUGAGAGGGUGAACGGCCACAUUGGAACUGCGAAUCGUUCAAAAAUCUACGGGAGGGAACAGGGGGGAAUAUUGCACAAUGGAGGGAACUCUGAUGCAGCGACGCCGCGUGAACGAAGAAGGCUUUCGAGUCGUAAAGUUCUUUUAUAUGGGAAGCGGUACCAUAAGAAAAAGCCCCGGCUAACUACGUGCCAGCAGCCGCGGUAAUUC
rnacentral:rRNA from 1 species